UGGUCCAGACUUUGAUUCUGGCUCAGGAUGAACGCUAGCUACAGGCUUAACACAUGCAAGUCGAGGGGCAGCAUGAAGUCAGCUUGCUGACUUUGAUGGCGACCGGCGCACGGGUGAGUAACGCGUAUCGAACCUGCCCUGUACUCGGGAUAGCCUUGCGAAAGUAAGAUUAAUACCCGAUGUUGAGCGGUCAUCGCAUGGUGUCCGUUCCAAAGAUUUAUCGGUACAGGAUGGUGAUGCGUCCCAUUAGCUGGUUGGCGGGGUAACGGCCCACCAAGGCGACGAUGGGUAGGGGUUCUGAGAGGAAGGUCCCCCACAUUGGAACUGAGACACGGUCCAAACUCCUACGGGAGGCAGCAGUGAGGAAUAUUGGUCAAUGGUCGCGAGACUGAACCAGCCAAGUAGCGUGCAGGAAGACGGCCCUCCGGGUUGUAAACUGCUUUUAGUUGGGAAUAAAAGGGAGUUCGUGAACUCCGAAUUGUAUGUACCAUCAGAAAAAGGACCGGCUAAUUCCGUGCCAGCAGCCGCGGUAAUACGGAAGGUCCGGGCGUUAUCCGGAUUUAUUGGGUUUAAAGGGAGCGUAGGCGGGUUUUUAAGUCAGUUGUGAAAGUUUGCGGCUCAACCGUAAAAUUGCAGUUGAAACUGGAAGCCUUGAGUGUACACAGGGGUGCCGGAAUUCAUGGUGUAGCGGUGAAAUGCUUAGAUAUCAUGAAGAACUCCGACCGCGAAGGCAAGUGCCCGGAGUACAACUGACGCUGAGGCUCGAAAGUGCGGGUAUCAAACAGGAUUAGAUACCCUGGUAGUCCGCACAGUAAACGAUGGAUACUCGCGGUGCGUGAGUAAUUAUGCGUCGCCAAGCGAAAGCGUUAAGUAUCCCACCUGGGGAGUACGCCGGCAACGGUGCAACUCAAAGGAAUUGACGGA
rnacentral:rRNA from 1 species